rnacentral:misc_RNA from 1 species
AAGGUCAGCCCUCUGCUUAUUAUCCUUGUAGCCCGUAUCUUACUUCUGGUUUCUUUUUGAUUGUGAAAAGUUGCCAUUGAAAUGAGGCAUUGAUAAGAAAAAUGCCCCAACUUUUACUGUUCAAUGUUAUAUCUUAGCACAGCUCGUAACAUCAUUUUAUAUACCAUAAUGGCAUAAUCUCUAUCCACCUGUGAAUUGUUGGCAUGGAGCGCUAACAUGUAUCUAUAUUUUUUUUUAGUUCAUAACAAGUGUCAAUAUUUUUAAUGCGUCGUUAAAUAAUAAGUGAUGGGACAAGUAGCAGAAAUUAAUUGAUGUUUCGUUUCACUUUAGGUGAACAUCUCUUAAGAAAAUGGGUCAGACCUAACUCAUCCUAUAACCUAAAAGUUAAGUUAGCUUAGCUCAAGGCCUUAUAAGGCGCAUUACCCUAUCCCAAACCAAUGUGGACACACCCUCUCUCACGUAAUCCAAACACUUGGAGAGUGUGAAACACUUAUGAGAGGCCCAA